CGAGUAGGCGGUAAUCCAAGUCUCAAGUGAAAGCUCCUGGCUUAACUGGGAGAGUGCGUGAGAAACUGGGUAACUGGAGGGCAGUAGAGGCGUGUGGAAUUCCGGGUGGAGUGGUGAAAUGCGUAGAGAUCCGGAGGAACACCAGAGGCGAAGGCGGCACGCUGGGCUGUACCUGACGCUGAGUCGCGAAAGCGUGGGUAGCGAACG
rnacentral:rRNA from 1 species